rnacentral:lncRNA from 1 species
AUUUAUUGGUUGAUGGAUUUGAAGCUUCCAAUUUAGCAGAACUUGGAAACAUAUGCAUCAACACCUGCUUGUUGAACCGUACCGUGGCUUGUGGCUUGCAUCCUCUGAGAGCCUUGAACCUGUGGACUGAGGUAGGAAAAACCUUUGUUGCAAACAAUACAACUUUACUGCUCAAGCGGAAAAGCCCUGGUGAGACGCAGGGGCUCUGUGAGCGAGAAGAGGAUAGGCGUCACAGACACGGGGAACUUCAACGUGUGCUCACCUGCAUUAGCUUGUGAUUGUUGCAGUCACAUGGCAGCAAAUCAACACCUAGAUUUCAAUCACAUAGAACGACAAACUUUAAUUUCUUACUUAUGAAUA